GACGAACGCUGGCGGCGUGCUUAACACAUGCAAGUCGAACGGUGAAGGUGGGAGCUUGCUCCUGCUGGAUCAGUGGCGAACGGGUGAGUAACACGUGAGUAACCUGCCCUUGACUCUGGGAUAAGCGUUGGAAACGACGUCUAAUACCGGAUACGAGCUUCAGCCGCAUGGCUAGGAGUUGGAAAGAUUUUUCGGUCAAGGAUGGACUCGCGGCCUAUCAGCUUGUUGGUGAGGUAAUGGCUCACCAAGGCGACGACGGGUAGCCGGCCUGAGAGGGUGACCGGCCACACUGGGACUGAGACACGGCCCAGACUCCGACGGGAGGCAGCAGUGGGGAAUAUUGCACAAUGGGCGCAAGCCUGAUGCAGCAACGCCGCGUGAGGGACGACGGCCUUCGGGUUGUAAACCUCUUUUAGCAGGGAAGAAGCGAAGUGACGGUACCUGCAGAAAAAGCACCGGCUAACUACGUGCCAGCCGCCGCAGUAAAAC
rnacentral:rRNA from 1 species